rnacentral:rRNA from 1 species
UACGUAGGGUGCAAGCGUUAAUCGGAAUUACUGGGCGUAAAGCGUGCGCAGGCGGUUCCGCAAGUCAGAUGUGAAAUCCCUGGGCUUAACCUGGGAACUGCAUUUGGAACUACGGAGCUAGAGUGUGUCAGAGGGGGGUAGAAUUCCACAUGUAGCAGUGAAAUGCGUAGAGAUGUGGAGGAACACCGAUGGCGAAGGCAGCCCCCUGGGUCAACACUGACGCUCAUGCACGAAAGCGUGGGGAGCAAACAGG